rnacentral:lncRNA from 1 species
CUAGUCAUUUCAUUUCUGCCUCUUUUCCUGGAGGGCCGGGGGAUCUCCCAGUGCUGUCUGUUCUUUUCCUCUGAGUUUUGCAGGCAGGGGAAUCUCAUGCAAGCUUCAGCUCCACAUCCUCUGAAGAGAAAACAUUAAAGUCAGCACUUGACUGCACUGAAUUUUACAGGAUUUUCUCCCAAGUAUGAUAUUGAUAUCUUUUAAGUGAAUGGAGUAAUUGAGGAAUCUUUCUCUAAAUUAUUGACUGGGUGUCUGGAGAAGAAAUGAAUGAGAAAUAUCUUUAUCCCCAAUAAAGAUUUAGGUGCACUGAAUUAAUCUUGUUUCUGAUGUGACCCUUUUGAGUAUUAUUUAGGACGAGCUUUUCCAUGCUAAGCCUGUGGGGAGAUUGUGUGCGUGUGAGGGAGGAAGGAUAGCCUAAAUUUUGGUGCAAGGCACCUGAGAGAUUUUCCAUGUUUCUAAAUCUUUCCUCUCUUAAAACAGGAGACAGAAGCAGGAGGAGGGAGAUGAAGAAAAGACAUCAUAACUUGACAUCGCCAUGCUUUUCUGUUUGUGGUCUGCUAGGAUUUGGCAAUAACAUUUAUGCUGUUUCGGAGAAAAGAUAGGGGGUGAACAGCUGGAGGAGAAGUCCACACAAAGGCUUUAACGUCAGCAGGAGCAGAGCCCCAGGAGGGUCCUGGACAGGCCAGCAGUGUCAGUGUGUCGGCUCGGGGACAUCUCUGGUCUGAACACACCCGUCGGGGAUGUGUGUGCUGCUUGGAGGGGCUGGGAAAGCCACAAAGCAUCUCAGCUCACUUCCAGACUUAUUUUUUAGACAGCCUGGAUUUGUUUUGGAGGGAAAAAAAGGGGGACAGCCUCAUCCCGUGCUGAAGGUCGCAUUCAUCAUGGCUGCGAGAAGGGAGCAGGAAUGAGGUGGCCAAACCACGACCUGUGCCAGGUGGUGCUGCCCUGGGCAAUGUGGGGCACCCACAGCCAGGACCGAAGCUGCUGCCCCUGCUCCAAAGACGGUGCUGCAAGAAUCACUAUUGACAGAGACUUCUGCAAACCACCCAAAAGCCCAAUUGAGAUGUCUGUUAUAAACACAGUUCAAACAACAUCGCACAAGAAAUGUUAUAAAUAUUUUAAAAUGGCUUCUUAA